UCCGGUUUGGCACCGGCAGUCCCCCCAGAGUCCCCGGCCGGCUGUUUGAAGGCCGCCGCUGGCAACUGGAGGCGGGGGUUGCGCUCGUUGCGGGACUUAACCCAACAUCUCACGACACGAGCUGACGACAGCCAUGCAGCACCUGUGCUGGGGCUCCGAAGAGGGGCCUACGUUUCUGUAGGCUUUCCCCAGCAUGUCAAGCCCGGGUAAGGUUCUUCGCGUUGCGUCGAAUUAAACCACAUGCUCCACCGCUUGUGCGGGCCCCCGUCAAUUCUUUUGAGUUUUAGCCUUGCGGCCGUACUCCCCAGGCGGAACACUUAUCGCGUUGGCUGCGGCACAGAGGGAUUCGACUCCCCCCACACCUAGUGUUCAUCGUUUACGGCUAGGACUAC
rnacentral:misc_RNA from 1 species